rnacentral:rRNA from 1 species
AUUGAACGCUGGCGGCAUGCCUUACACAUGCAAGUCGAACGGCAGCACGGGUGCUUGCACCUGGUGGCGAGUGGCGAACGGGUGAGUAAUACAUCGGAACAUGUCCUGUAGUGGGGGAUAGCCCGGCGAAAGCCGGAUUAAUACCGCAUACGAUCUACGGAUGAAAGCGGGGGACCUUCGGGCCUCGCGCUAUAGGGUUGGCCGAUGGCUGAUUAGCUAGUUGGUGGGGUAAAGGCCUACCAAGGCGACGAUCAGUAGCUGGUCUGAGAGGACGACCAGCCACACUGGGACUGAGACACGGCCCAGACUCCUACGGGAGGCAGCAGUGGGGAAUUUUGGACAAUGGGCGAAAGCCUGAUCCAGCAAUACCGCGUGUGUGAAGAAGGCCUUCGGGUUGUAAAGCACUUUUGUCCGGAAAGAAAUCCUUGGCUCUAAUACAGUCGGGGGAUGACGGUACCGGAAGAAUAAGCACCGGCUAACUACGUG